AGCGAACGCUGGCGGCAUGCCUAACACAUGCAAGUCGAACGAGACCUUCGGGUCUAGUGGCGCACGGGUGCGUACGCGUGGGAACCUGCCCUUAGGUUCGGAAUAACUCCCCGAAAGGGGUGCUAAUACCGGAUAAUGUCUUCGGACCAAAGAUUUAUCGCCUUUGGAUGGGCCCGCGUUGGAUUAGCUAGUUGGUAGGGUAAAAGCCUACCAAGGCGACGAUCCAUAGCUGGUCUGAGAGGAUGAUCAGCCACACUGGGACUGAGACACGGCCCAGACUCCUACGGGAGGCAGCAGUGGGGAAUAGUGGACAAUGGGCGAAAGCCUGAUCCAGCAAUGCCGCGUGAGUGAUGAAGGCCUUAGGGUUGUAAAGCUCUUUUACCCGGGAUGAUAAUGACAGUACCGGGAGAAUAAGCUCCGGCUAACUCCGUG
rnacentral:rRNA from 1 species